rnacentral:rRNA from 1 species
UACGGAGGAUCCAAGCGUUAUCCGGAUUUAUUGGGCUUAAAGGGUGCGUAGGCGGCCUAUUAAGUCAGGGGUGAAAGACGGUAGCUUAACUAUCGCAGUGCCUUUGAUACUGAUGGGCUUGAAUGUACUUGAGGUAGGCGGAAUGUGACAAGUAGCGGUGAAAUGCAUAGAUAUGUCACAGAACACCAAUUGCGAAGGCAGCUUACUAAAGUAUGAUUGACGCUGAGGCACGAAAGCGUGGGGAGCAAACAGG